rnacentral:lncRNA from 1 species
UAUGUUUGAUUGUUAAUUGUUGGGUUCUCAUCUGUGCUUAAGGCCUUUAUCGUUUAACUCAUUCGGUAACUGUUGUUUGUCUUUAUUGAUACGGGGACGUACACUAAUGUCAUGAACUGGUGAGUAAUUUCUUGAUUUUGCAAUACCACCUAGGGAUAAGGGUAGGACGAUCAAUUGCGUUAACUUCUGUUUAUAAUGCGGUAUUAAUUGCUAGGGGAGGCUAGGGAUAGCAAGCUAGUAGUUAAUAUUAGGCUUUUUUCGCCGAGGGAUCGGGUUAAGGGUAGGCUAAGAAAGUCGCAUGACAAUUAACUAAUCAAACUAAUAAUUCAAGAGGAGUAGAUAAGAGAUAGCGGAUUAGAUGAAAUUGUAAACCCCCAACAACUCCAUUCAUCCAUUGUUUUCUUUUGUCAAUUGAAUCAAUCUAUUUUGCAUGUUAAUAUUUUUGUUCUCAAAUCAAUUUAUUAAUUUUUAUUUUCAAGUCUUAUUAUUUUAAUUCACGUGAACGAGAA